UGGGGAAUUUUGGACAAUGGGCGAAAGCCUGAUCCAGCAAUGCCGCGUGUGUGAAGAAGGCCUUCGGGUUGUAAAGCACUUUUGUCCGGAAAGAAAUCCUUGGCUCUAAUACAGUCGGGGGAUGACGGUACCGGAAGAAUAAGCACCGGCUAACUACGUGCCAGCAGCCGCGGUAAUACGUAGGGUGCAAGCGUUAACCGGAAUUACUGGGCGUAAAGCGUGCGCAGGCGGUUUGCUAAGACCGAUGUGAAAUCCCCGGGCUCAACCUGGGAGCUGCAUUGGUGACUGGCAGGCUAGAGUAUGGCAGAGGGGGGUAGAAUUCCACGUGUAGCAGUGAAAUGCGUAGAGAUGUGGAGGAAUACCGAUGGCGAAGGCAGCCCCCUGGGCCAAUACUGACGCUCAUGCACGAAAGCGUGGGGAGCAAACAGGAUUAGAUACCCUGGUAGUCCACGCCCUAAACGAUGUCAACUAGUUGUUGGGGAUUCAUUCCUUAGUAACGUAGCUAACGCGCGAAGUUGACCGCCUGGGGAGUACGGUCGCAAGAUUAAAACUUAAAUGAAUUGACGGGGUCAUAGCUGUUUCCU
rnacentral:rRNA from 1 species